CAAAUGACGCUUUUGCCCUUCCUAUUUCCCCAAUUGUUUCGCUUCUGGUUCGUCGCGAUGGCGCCGCCGCUCCUCUCCGCCUCGCCUCCAUGCGCUUCUCCAAAUAGCGCCGCCACCCUACUCUGGCUGGCCUGAAUUGCUCGCGCGGAUCCUUGGCGUCGGCUAUCUGCUCCCCCUGAAUCCUUUGGCGCACAGAUCGUGAUGGCGCCACCGUUCUUCGCGACUCCGAGCUCCUCCCCCACCGCGCCAUCCCGCCCCCUCGUUGCCUCCACCAUGGCCCCAUUUCUGCCUCUGAGCGGGGAACCUCUAAGCGGGGAAGCAGGAUCUCCACCGGCGUGGUGGGAGAACAUCUCCCUGAGCUGGCUGCGUCCUGCAGGCCCUACAAGCCACUCCCCCCCCCCCCCCCGAUGGCCAACUCCCUCCUCGCCCUUUCGGCCUCGACGGGUGUCCAACUUUGCAAUUCGCCAUCAGGUCUGGCCUCGUCUUCGCGCACAUCAACAUCGCCAAGAUCGCAACACCUGAGGUCUGUGAAGGGUGGCUAAAUGUUCAAGAAGGGGAAGGGCGAACGAGAAAGAAAAGAAAGUCUCCUUAUACAACUUUGUUGCUCUCUAGUCCCCAUUGAGCCGAAUGUUACUGUCACCACAGUUGAGGUCCCCUACAAUAGGACAUGGGAGAUCACCAUUGGCUACAAGAUGCUCAAGAGCAGUUAAUGACAUUGACUUAAAUUUGGAAGCGUAUGAAGAUGCCUCAAAGAAUGCUCAAAGUGGCUUUAUUGAUGGGGCUGAUCCACAAGCUCGUGAAGAAGAUGAAAAUGAGUCUAACAUAGGGGAUGUUUUUAGUGAUGGGGCUGAUCCACAUGCUCAUCAGGAAAAUGAAAAUAACUCCAGCACAGGGGUUGAUCUACAAGAUCAAGAGAAUGCACGGAGGAGAGUAGUAGUGCCCAAUGAGAAACGAAGAGCAAUUUUUGAAGCAUUGGUAGCAAAGGCCAGGAGUGGAAAUUUGAAGGGCCAUGAGACGAAAGAAAUUUCAGAGGAAUUCUCAGUACCUCUCCGGAUAGUACAACAUAUCUAGAAAAAAGGAAAAAGUUGUCUAGAUCAAGGUCAGUUAGUGGAUGUUUCAAGUCAAAAGACCAAGUGUGGCUGCAAGAAGAUUGAAGUGGAUGUGUCAACGCUUCGUGGUCUUCCUUUGUCAAGUUACACAACAAUACAUGAUGUGGCUCAGCACUGUGGUAUCAGUAAAAGUAAGUUGCACUCACUGAAAAGAGAAGGCGUUAUAAAGCGUGUCUCAAACAACAUAAAACCCUACUUAACAGACAAGAACAAGAAGGACAGGCUGAAGUGGUGUGUAUCUAUGCUUGACCCAAAUAGCAUACCUCACGAUCCCGUGUUUCGAGGGUUGUUUGAUUAUGUGUUCAUUGAUGAAAAGUGGUACUACAUCAUGAGAAAGUCAUUUCGAUACUAUACAGUACCAGGUGAAGAACAGCCGACAAGAACAUGCAAAAACAAGAAUUACAUCCCAAAGAUCGUGAUUUUGACUGUCAUUGCACGGCCGAGAUUUUACUCGGAUGGGCAUUGCACUUUUGAUGGAAAGAUUGGUUGCUUUCCCUUUGUUACAUAUGAACCAGCGAGGAGGUCAAGUGCGAAUCGGCCAGCACGAACAAUAGAGAUGAAACCUAUUGAGUCAGUAACAAAGGUAGUAAUUCGCGAUUUCAUGAUUGAAAAGAUUUUACCAGCAAUUCAUGCUAAAUGGCCUCGUGAAGAUGCACACAAACCAAUACUCAUACAACAGGACAAUGCUAGACCUCAUCUUUCACCUAAUGAUACAAUGUUUUGUGAGGCUGCUAAGCUAGAUGGGUUCGAUAUGAGACUUGUAUGCCAGCCAGCAAAUUCGUCAGAUUUCAAUGUCUUGGAUUUAGGCUUCUUUAACUCUAUUCAGUCAAUUCAAUAUAAAACAUCAUCCAAAACUACCGAAGAACUUGUUGCUGCAGUGGAUGAGGCUUUUCAAAGUUACUCUGUGCGCCAAUUAAAUAGAAUUUUCUUGACUCUCCAUGGUUGUAUGAAGGAAGUAAUGAAAGUCGGUGGUGGCAAUGGAUAUGAUGUUCCAUACAUCAGAAAAAAGGGAUGCUCAAAAGGCAAGGGUGUCUCCCGUUGCAACUGAAGUGUGAAGCGCAAUUGGUGCAGGCUGCUAUGGCUCAAAUCAAUGAAUAAAGAGUGAAAUAAAGAGUAGUGUUUGUAAUGGUCUUGUGUGAGUCCUGCAGUGCAUGUAAUGUCAUCAUGAGAAGAGAAACUAUUAGGCUUUGUCCUUGGUUUCAUGUUUGACAGUACCUGUAAUAUUAUGUGUGACUGAAUCUGCAUUAUGUGUGUGAUUGAAUCUGCGUUCUCUAUUA